rnacentral:rRNA from 1 species
CCUACGGGAGGCAGCAGUGGGGAAUAUUGCACAAUGGGGGAAACCCUGAUGCAGCGACGCCGCGUGAGUGAAGAAGUAAUUCGUUAUGUAAAGCUCUAUCAGCAGGGAAGAAAAUGACGGUACCUGAGUAAGAAGCCCCGGCUAACUACGUGCCAGCAGCCGCGGUCAUACGUAGGGGGCCAGCGUUAUCCGGAUUUACUGGGUCUAAAGGGAGCGUAGACGGCAGUGCAAGUCUGGAGUGAAAGGCGGGGGCUCAACCCCCGGACUGCGCUGGAAACUGUACGGCGGGAGUGCAGGAGAGGUAAGUGGAAUUCCUAGUGUAGCGGUGAAAUGCGUAGAUAUUAGGAGGAACACCAGUGGCGAAGGCGGCUUACUGGACUGUAACUGACGUUGAGGCUCGAAAGCGUGGGGAGCAAACAGGAUUAGAUACCCGUGUAGUC